AACCUUAUGGACCUGCGGGCGUAUACCUGCGGAAGGAUCAUUAUCAAUUUACAGCGAGCUUUCGAGCUCUGUCUGCACCCUUGUCUUUUGCGUACUGUCUGUUUCCUCGGUGGGCUCGCCUGCCGAUAGGACAUACAUACACUCUUUUGUAAUUGCAAUCAGCGUCAGAAUAACUAUAAUAGUUACAACUUUCAACAAUGGAUCU
rnacentral:misc_RNA from 1 species